rnacentral:rRNA from 1 species
CUCAGGAUGAACGCUGGCGGCGUGCUUAACACAUGCAAGUCGAACGAUGAAGCCCAGCUUGCUGGGUGGAUUAGUGGCGAACGGGUGAGUAACACGUGAGUAACCUGCCCCCGACUCUGGGAUAAGCCCGGGAAACUGGGUCUAAUACCGGAUAUUACCUCUUGCCGCAUGGCAGGUGGUGGAAAGAUUUAUCGGUGGGGGAUGGACUCGCGGCCUAUCAGCUUGUUGGUGAGGUAAUGGCUCACCAAGGCGACGACGGGUAGCCGGCCUGAGAGGGUGACCGGCCACACUGGGACUGAGACACGGCCCAGACUCCUACGGGAGGCAGCAGUGGGGAAUAUUGCACAAUGGGCGAAAGCCUGAUGCAGCGACGCCGCGUGAGGGAUGACGGCCUUCGGGUUGUAAACCUCUUUCAGUAGGGAAGAAGCGAAAGUGACGGUACCUGCAGAAGAAGCGCCGGCUAACUACGUGCCAGCAGCCGCGGUAAUACGUAGGGCGCAAGCGUUAUCCGGAUUUAUUGGGCGUAAAGAGCUCGUAGGCGGUUUGUCGCGUCUGCCGUGAAAGUCCGAGGCUCAACCUCGGAUCUGCGGUGGGUACGGGCAGACUAGAGUGA